rnacentral:rRNA from 1 species
GACGAACGCUGGCGGCGUGCUUAACACAUGCAAGUCGAACGGUGAAAGCGGAGCUUGCUCCGCUGGAUCAGUGGCGGACGGGUGAGUAACACGUGGGUAACCUGCCCAUAAGACUGGGAUAACUCCGGGAAACCGGGGCUAAUACCGGAUAACAUUUUGAACCGCAUGGUUCGAAAUUGAAAGGCGGCUUCGGCUGUCACUUAUGGAUGGACCCGCGUCGCAUUAGCUAGUUGGUGAGGUAACGGCUCACCAAGGCAACGAUGCGUAGCCGACCUGAGAGGGUGAUCGGCCACACUGGGACUGAGAGAAUGCCCAGACUCCGACGGGAGGCAGAAGUAGGGAAUCUUCCGCAAUGGACGAAAGUCUGACGGAGCAACGCCGCGUGAGUGAUGAAGGCUUUCGGGUCGUAAAACUCUGUUGUUAGGGAAGAACAAGUGCUAGUUGAAUAAGCUGGCACCUUGACGGUACCUAACCAGAAAGCCACGGCUAACUACGUGCCAGCAGCCGCGGUAA